ACUAACAAGGAUUCCCCUAGUAACUGCGAGUGAAGCGGGAAAAGCUCAAAUUUAAAAUCUGGCGGUCUCUGGCCGUCCGAGUUGUAAUCUAGAGAAGUAAUGCCCGUGCUGGACCGUGUAUAAGUCUCCUGGGAUGGGGCGUCAUAGAGGGUGAGAAUCCCGUCUUUGACACGGACUACCAGUGCAUUGUGGUAUGCUCUCAAAGAGUCGAGUUGUUUGGGAAUGCAGCUCAAAAUGGGUGGUAAAUUCCAUCUAAAGCUAAAUACUGGCGAGAGACCGAUAGCGAACAAGUACCGUGAGGGAAAGAUGAAAAGAACUUUGGAAAGAGAGUUAAACAGUACGUGAAAUUGCUGAAAGGGAAACGCUUGAAGUCAGUCGCGUUGGCCGGGGAUCAGCCUUGCUUCUGCAUGGUGUACUUUCUGGUUGACGGGUCAGCAUCAAUUUUGACCACUGGAAAAGGUUCAGGGGAAUGUGGCAGCUUCGGCUGUGUUAUAGCCCUUGUUCAYAUACAGUGGUUGGGAUUGAGGAACUCAGCACGCCGCAAGGCCGGGUUUCGACCACGUUCGUGCUUAGGAUGCUGGCAUAAUGGCUUUAAGCGACCCGUCUUGAAACACGGACCAAGGAGUCUAACAUGCCUGCGAGUAUUUGGGUGGAAAAUCCAAGUGCGCAAUGAAAGUGAAAGUUGAGAUCCCUGUCGUGGGGAGCAUCGACGCCCGGACCAGAACUUUUGGGACGGAUCCGCGGUGGAGCAUGUAUGUUGGGACCCGAAAGAUGGUGAACUAUGCCUGAAUAGGGUGAAGCCAGAGGAAACUCUGGUGGAGGCUYGUAGCGAUUCUGACGUGCAAAUCGAUCGUCAAAUUUGGGUAUAGGGGC
rnacentral:rRNA from 1 species